UAAAAAUAUGGAAUUUAAUGCCACAUCUUUAAAAAGUGCAUUAAUUAAAAAAAUAAAGCAGUAUAAUCAUUUUCCUCAUAAUUCUAAUGUAAAGCAUAAUUGUAACAGGAAAGACAACAGGAAAGCUAUGCCAUUAUUCUACCUGCAAAGUAAAGGUGGUAUAUGAAUAUGAAUUUCUGGGGACUUCUCUGCAGUGUAACUCUAUCAUUUGCUGAGAGAAAGGAAAUGCUUUUAAUGUUUUAGGGUUUCAUUUGAAUUUCAGGAGACCUGCAAUAUCAUUUUUGAGAAAAUUCUUAUUGAUCAAAAUCUUUUGUAAAGUGGAAGAUUAACCUAUUCAGCCUGUUAUUUCCUAUAAAUUCCUGGCUUCCAAGGACUCUCCCUUCAUACUCAGAGACAGCUUGCCAGGAGAACUUACCUGUAUUUCCAUGAAUACAGGUACAUAUCUUUUCUUUUAAGUCAGUAGCAAGUAUGUUUUCACUGUCAAAGAGUAUUAUCUUCAGAGAGGCAAAAAUGCUGCCAUCAGAUAAGGCUUGUGCUGCCCCUUUGGGGUUUUAUCAACAGAGGUUUUGUUCAUUGAAGAGCUGCCCUCCGUUUUUUCUUCUAUGAGACUUCACCAAAGUAUUUUAGAUUUGCUCUCACAAUUAGUCUAUUUGACUUUACAUUCACUUGACUCUUGUAAAUAAUCUUAAACUAUACUUAAUCCCAGAUUUGAGAUUUAUUAUAGUUCCAGUGCCCUGAAAAUCAGCCAAACUCCUCAGCCUAGGCGCUCACACAAGGAGAAUACUAAGGACAGUACUAAAGUUGGAUGGUCUGAAUUUUCAUGAAGAAGGACCUUUUGUUCUCCUCCCAGGAACUAAACAAAACGAGUCGCUAGGCCAACUCCCGGAGCCAAAGUUACAGAGUCAAGCAGAGGCCAUUUAACUGAGAAAUAGGCAGGUUUUUAAAGGGAAGAAAAUUUUAAAAGAAAAACAACCUGUCCCUCUUACCUAUACUCUUGGAUCAUGCUCACUUUAAUGCUACCUGUGUUUUCUAUAAUAAUUUCAUUUUUUCUCCUUUAAUAAUUCAUUUUGUGGAAAUGUGGUAAUGGCACACUACUUCAAAUGUACUAUUUAUCCAAUUCACACAUUUCCCAACUUAUACACCUUUUGUCCCAUAAUUGAAUUCAUUUUAUGUCUACCUCUAGGUUAUACCCCAGCCCAAGAUUCUGAGGAUCUGUAGGCAUCUGUGACAGUGGAUAUUUAUUUGGCCCCAGCCACACUUUCUGAAACUCAUCAUUAUAGGCACUAGUCCAGUGCUAAACAGUGCCUUAGGUCUGAUAGAGUAGGACCCGCCUUUGCCUCUGUUUCUGAGUUCUUGUUCAGCCUAAUAUUCAGUCCACUCUAGAACCGAAGCCUUUCCAAGCUCUUACUAAUUCCUAUCCCAGUGUCUGGAACUCUUUCCUAAAUUUUUUACCAGUGUCCACAUCAUUGCUGCUUACAGAGUAGAAUAGUAAUACAUUAAGGUGGGCAUUCAGAGGGCUCAGAAAAGUCUAGAAAAUUGUAUGAUUAUAACAUUAUACUUCUAAAAUUAGCUUCAUUACCAAUGUUUGCCUUCUAGAAAUCUUGCAUUAUUUGACUUACAAUAGUACAUUAUAAAAUCAAAACAUCUCAUAAAUUUUUUACUUUCAUCAUCAAAUUCCUAAUGACAUUUGUUUCAUUAAUACCAAAGUGUUUGUUCUUUAAAGAACAUAAUCGGAAGGGAAAAUUGUAAUGAUAGUCUGAAAAAUAAAUGCAAACUUUCAACUUUGUUUAUAUUUAUUCAGAUAAUGCUUUCACUAGCUCAAUGCAAAAGUGUUCGAAACCAAAUAUUUUGAAAUGUAAGCAUCUGAAAAACAGUAAAAUAGAAACAUUGCCUAAUAAAGGAUGUUAAGAAACAUUCAGAUAUCUUUAAGAAAUAUUCCUAUUUCUGGGAAAUAAUGUACUACAUAGAAGUGAAAGUAUGUCCUCUCAUUUGACAUGAUGGAUAGCCAAGAUUUUAUGUAAUGGAAAACAUAAAGAUAUUUCACCAUGGCAAGGAACUAGUACCUUAUCCCUUCAUGUUCUAGUAUUUCAUUGCAAGGUUUAUAUUAUCAACAUCAAGCAGAAGAGUCUCACAAGUAGACAAGGAAAAGAAUAAAUGAAGAAAGAAUAUUGAUGAGUGGUAAUAUGUAAGCAGGCAAAUUUACAGAAGUAUUAUUUCAUGCCAUAAUAUUAAAAUAAUUCUGACUUUAAUUGACCUUUAAGAGUUGAGUACCAGCCAUGUAUUUUAUGUAAUUAUUUACACCCGGAAAAUUCUAUUUGUUUCAGUAUUGUUUAAAUAAUAAUGAAGACAUUUGACAAUUCCUAAUAAUGAGACAUGAGAGACAUUUUUCCUAUGGAUACUUGUGAAGAGGACACAAUAUUAUAGCAAGCAUCCCUUAAGAAUAUCCUUAGCAUACAUACAGCUAUUUCUUUUAACAUCCCUCAAUGUAAAGCAAUAGUUAUACCAUAAAAACCAAAAAAUGCUCCAUGAAAGAGGCUCUAUGGAGAUAGAUGGAUUUGUAAAACAAUGUAGUGCAGGUAUACAUUUCUGUUGGUCCAGUUUAAUCUAGAUAUAAUCUACAUUUGGAGCACUUUUCCAAAUUUUUUUUUUUUUUUUUGGAAAUCAGAUAUGGAUGAGAAUUGGGGAGGGGCGCUUGAAUAGAACAUCUCCAAAGAGAAAUUCUCACAAGCACAAUCUUUUGCAUAUAGAUACAGCAUUUUAACAAAUUCCAUGAUACACAACAUGGACUUCUUAGACUCUUGCUUUUCAAAUUGUAGAUCUGUACCCAUUAGCUGUCCAUGGAUUAAUUUCUUGGGCUGGAAAUGGCAGUUUAAAAAAAAACCUGAAGGAUUCAGGUAAGUUUCUCACAGUAGUGAUGUAGUUUUGGAAUCUUCCUUCAUUUGUCCAUAAAAACAGACCAGACAGGCAAACAAGAAUAGCAAAACCAAAACUGCUGACAGCAUCUACAACAAAACUUCAUGAAUCUCACAAUGUGAGCACACAGAGAACCUACAAUCACAAAGAUCUACAAUACCCCGAUGGAAUCAGCAUCUGAUUGGCAGCAAGUGGAGGAAAGGGAAUAGGCUUGAUGGCCCUACAACUAGUAAACAGCCGAUCGCCAUAGGGUACUCACUGGAAAUUGUGGCAGGUCAAUGUGACAAUGGAAGCCAAAACCAUGCAGGGUUUCUGCAAUCAUGGAUAAAGUCAGGGUAUUCAAAUGUGAUAUGGUCUGAUGAUGCCUGAACUGUAUACACUAUUAAACUGUCGUACAAAACAAUCUUCUAAUUUUAGAAGUACAAUAUAUAUUAUAAUCAUACAAAGAAAAUUGCUUUUCUUUUAACUGAAAUAUUGCUAAUUAUGGCAGGGCAGCAAUAUCAAGGCUAGUCAGCCCUGAGAAUUACCUAGAGUUGUACUGUACUUCAUUGAUUCUAGAGGCAUUUUUUUUUCACAUUUUAACAUCUCUCAAUCAUCGUGGUCCUUACAUUUGACAGUGUCUUAGAAUUUUAGCACUUUUCCUCAGAUCAUAAUACAUUAAGUAAAUAAAUUAUUUUUCAUACAAUUGAUGGCACCUUAGAUAUGAAGACAUACAGUAUUUUCCUAUUAUCUGCGCAAUGGCCCAUCAUAGGCUUUACCCAUGUAGGGCCAUUAUUUUCUGGUCAAAGUCAAGAAGUUUGGCACAACAGAACUCAAUGCUACCUCAAUACAGAGAUGGUAAAAAUGAUAAGCAAUUACUAUUGGAGAUCAAGAAAAACUACUUCCUAGUUAUGUAACGUUAUACAGGAAAAUUGAAUUGUACUUUUUCAUGUUUCCUAAUUUUAAAAGUUCACUAGCUGAGACAGUAACAUUUAUAAUUAUGAUUUAUUGGUUGUUUUAUAAUGUUGGUCUUAUGGAAGUUAUAGGCAGAGUAGAAAUCUGGAUAAAAUUGAAAGCAAUAUCCACAGUACUACAGCUAUGUACAUCACAAGUGCCCAUUGCCAUUAUAUGAAUUAUUUCUCUGAUGCUAGUAAACAGAAGAAAACAUAAUGACUUAAGUUAAUUAAUAUGUUAAAAAUAGUAUAAGGGCGCCUGAGUGACUCAGUCAGUUAAGCUUCCAACUUCAGCUCAGGUCUGUGAGCUUGAGCCCCGCAUCGGGCUCUGUGCUGACUGACAACUUGGAGCCUGGGGCCUGCUUCGGAUUCUGUGUCUCCCUCUCUCUCUGCCCCUCUCCCCCACUCGCACUCUGUCUCUCAUGCUCUGUCUCUCUCUGUCUCUCAAAAAUAAAUGUUUUUUUAAAAAACUUUAAUAGUAUAAAUAGUAAUUAUAACCUAGGUUACUGUUGUGACUAUCAUAGAUUUUUGACAUGAUUAUUUGAUAUGUUAGCAGCUAAUGGGUUAGUCUGGGUCCAAUCAAGAGACAAAAAUCACACAGUAAUUUAAACGGGAUGUUUAAUAUAAAGAAUUAUUAAGUUAUAGUAGGAGAGUAGUUAUGAAAAGGAUGUAAAGAGAAUACUAAAGGAUACUCUAAGGUUGAGGAAGUCCUUAAGGAAAGACAAAUUUGGGGGGCACCUGGGUGUGUGAGUUAAGCAUCCAACUCUUGGUUUCAGCUCAGGUCAUGAUCUCACCGUUCAGGUUCAAACCCUGUGAUGGGCUCCACAACUGGCAGCAUGGAGACUGCUUGUGAUUCUCCAUCUCCCUCUUCAGCCCCUCCCCCACCAAUGCAGUCUCUGUCUCUCUGAAAAUAAUUAAAUAAACUUAAAAAAAAAAAAAAAAAAGGAAAGGCAAACUUGGAAGAAGUUCUCCCUUCCAAGGCUGAGGUUCAGACCUAACGGGAAAAGGCAUGAUUGUAGCCCACUGGUUGGCAGGGACGUUUGCUGCACUGCUGGGCCAGAAGAGGUCCACAUUGCUAGGAAAAUAAGAAAUUACCCUUCUGGGUGAGGAGAGCCACAGCUAUCAGAGAUUGUGCAAAGGGGGUAAGAACGAGGCUGUAGGAGAGAAGCAUGGAGCAUGCAGUGCCCACACUUGGCGGGCUGCAGAAAGAUGGUCACCAUGGCCAGCGAUGCAAGAUUCCCAAGGAACUAUGCCCGCUGGGUCCAGGCUCUGGCCAAGUGCCACCGCGUGUCUUCACACAUACAACCACUGACUAACCCUGCAGCAGAAGCAAGAGAAAGAAAAGCCACACACACAGGAGCCAUGAAAAGCUACUCCCUGCUGCAAUGUUUCUCCCACUCUGCUGGCUAAAUUUACAUCAUGCUCCUUAGAAAGAAAAAACGUAUUGUUCAGUAUGGGCACUCAGAAGUAAAGGGUGAAUUUGGAGUUGAGAGGCGAUAAAUUGAUAACUGGCACUGCAAGCGAUUAAAGACAUCUUUGAAGUGUCUGCUGUAAGUGUAAGCCCUGAGUGAGAUACUAGGAAGAACACCAUCACUAGGAAGCUGUGUGGCGUAGCAGGAGUGGAAUGAGAAGGAGAGGAACGGAUGGACAGAAAUUAUGCUUAUGAAGAAUAUGCCUAGAAACCCAGAGUCCCAGGUAGUUAGGGAAAACACCUUUCAUUCGAUAGUAUUUUAGAAUUUUAGGAAUGCUACAUAUCAUCUCAUUUUUGAUGUUCACAAGUAUCCUGUGAAAUUAGUUGAGUCAUUACUAUCACUGCGAAUUUAUAAAUGAGGAAACGGUGGCCCAGAGACAUUAAUGCACUUAACCAGAGUCUCAAAGCUAGUGAAUAUCAGAGGAUUUGAUGUUCAAAUUUUAGAAAUGCAUGUUUAGGACUGUGGAACUUACUGUGGCUUUGACAAUGAAAUUAGACUAGAGUUGUCUUAGGGUCCCAUUACCCAGAAACAUGUUGCAUAUUACAAAAGAGUCUAUCAGCAAACAUUUAAAAGUGUGCUCUACAAAUCUAGCCAUAUCUGUAAUCGGCUGGGACAGCUGCUACUUUUCUCUCUUCUGCAGUUCUGGAUAAUCCCCAUUUUCUUCCAGAAUUCACAAUACACACACAAACAUACACACCACGAACUGCCUGGGCACAAAGGUGGUGCCUAUCAUGGAAACUUUCAAAAGUCUAGCUGUGAAUAUAUUUAAACUUUAUAAAAAUGAUCCCUGGCUGUUUUUUUCUUUAAUGCCUAAUGUGCAUCUAUCAUAGGAAGAAUUAAUGAAGCACACAAAAGUAAAAUAUGACAACUCACAAACGCUAAUUAGAUUUGCUAGGUAUUAACACACCUGCUAUAUUCCCUGACUCAUUGGGUUUUUUCCUUGUUUAAAUAAUUUUUAACGUCAUGUCCUUAAAUCCAGACUCAAUGCGUAUAGCCUUUCAAACUUACCUAAAUCUUUAGGUCUGCUGAGUACACCCUCUCCGUUCUAAGUAUUUAAAUUGUGCCCGAGGCCAAAAAAACACAAAAUUUAUUCCAGCCUAAAAUAUCCAGGUAGUAAAAAGGAAUACUCUUUCGUUUGAAUAAUGGAUAACCUCCUCUAUUUUCCAAGUCAUUUUAAGUAUUUUCUAAACAAUAAAUAUCAACUGUGGGAUUUUUUUUUAUAUCCUUCUUUGGGUAUUAGUGGUAAAAUUAAAUUUCCAUUGUUAUGGCACUCACUGUCCAGUUUGGGGGUUAUGUGCAUCCUGUGCCUUCCCUCUCUUCGGCUCCCUACAUAAGCAUCUCAUGAUCACUAACGACCACUACCAGAGAGCGUCACGGUAAGUGUGUGUCAAUAAAACUAAAAAUCGCCACUGGAGAGGCUGUGACAAAAAUUUUAGAAAGAAGCUGAUACCACUGAAUAAUUUAUAAUUAUCCUUUGUCUAGUAAACAACAUCAGAAAUAAUUGUAAAAUGUGUAGUCUUCAGACUCUUCCUUUGUAUGAACAAAUGUAAUUAUAUAAGGAAGAGGAAAGAAGAGCAUAUUUUCUGUCGGUCCCCUUUCUUUCCUUCAGUAUAACUUCCUUCACAUCUGGAUAAAUCUUCUAUUUGCAGCAAUUUACAAUUAUGGCAACAUUUGAUGUAAGACUUGAGUUUUCUAAAUUAUUUGAAAUAAAAUAUCUUAAAAAAUUCUGGGACUCUAAAUGUGUGAAGCAUCUAAUACGAGAUUUCUUGACAGGAAUUUUUCUAAAUAACGUUUUGUUCCUUUUUUUUUUUUUUUAAUCAUGCUGUUUUAACCUUGAAGGACAAUUUCCUGUGGUGUCUCUGUAAAGCUGCAAAUGCCAUGUCAGAAACAACAGGGAGCCCCAGACUGUGUGACGUGGAGUGAGAGGAGAACUAUAAACAAUCUUAAAUACUGAUUGAACCGGGAGAAAGCCUCAAUUAUUAAUCUAGCCUUAUUCAGUCUGAUUUUUCCACUGAUUUCUAACAAGAUCCUUAUCUCAGAAUGGAAAUCACUGGAGACAACAUCAAGUUCAAUUCAGAGCAAAUGUAACAAUUUAGAGGCAACUGGCAGUUAUUUUCCAUUCCCAUGAAUCUUAAACCAAGGAGAAAAGACUUCGGAAGAAAGUAAGUUUCUCCUCUCCUUUGCACUCUCUUUGCAUGGCAAGCAAGGAUCAUAUGUAUUCUUGAUCUUGCUUUAUGAACACACAACCUACCUGGUUUUAUAUAUAUAUCCUGCACAUAUAAGGAUGUGUGUGGUAUGUAGAAGAUUCUAUGCAGAGAGAAUUUCAGAUACUUUGAUAGUAAAAUGGCCACUUUUAUGGUUCAAAAAUUAUCACAGUUUCUUCAAUUAUAAUUUACUCUUAUAAUAGAACAUGUUGAGAAGCUGGAUCAAUAGAUAUAAUAAUAUAAUUUAGUAUCUUUGUGACAAUAAGAACUUAGAUGUUGGCAAAUAAUCUUAUCAUAAAUAUAUUUCAACGUUAUUAUAUUGUUAAUAAUAACAAUAACUAGUAUUUAUUGAGUCCUUGUAUGUCAUUUAUGACCUUCAACCAUUUACAUAUAUUAUCUCAUUUAAUUCUUAAAAACAACCUGGUAAGGUCACCUGAGUGGUUCAGUUGAUUGAGCUCAGGUCAUGAUCCUAGAGUCGUGGGAUCAAGCCCCAAUGUGGGCUUUGUGCUGAGCAUGGAGCUUGCUUGGGAUUCUGUCUCUCUGUCUCCCCUCUCCUCAACUCAUGCUCUCUCUUUUCUCUCUCUGAAAUAAAAAAUAUAUAUAUUUAAAAAAUUCUUAAAAACAACCUGGUAAAAUAGAUAUUAUUAAUAUUUUUCUUUUAAAGAUGAAGAAAUUGGUAGGUAGAAGGGUGUCCAUGGUUUCAGGCUAGUAUACAGGACAGUUGGGACCCCUGAGAUGGAUUUUUAUUGCUCUAAAUUCCAUUCUUCUUUUUUUUAAUUAAUUAAUUUAUUUAUUUAGAGGAGGAGAGAGAGAGAGAGAGAGUGUGUGUGUACACAUGAGCAGGGGAGGAGCAGAGAGAGAAAGAGAGUGAGAACCCCAAUCAGGCUCUGCGCUGUGCCCAACAUGGGGCUCAAUCCCACAAACAGUGAGAUCAUGACCUGAGCUGAAAUCAAGAGUCAGAUGCUCAACUGACUGAGCCACUCAGGUGACCCUGUAAAUUCCAUUCUUUAAACAUCAGUAUAUGUUGUUUGUACUUUAAUAAAUAGCUAUGCAAAUGCAAGCUAUUUUAUAGAGCAGCUGAGAAAGUCGUGAUAUGCCUUUGAGACUUCAGGAGAACUCUAAAGGGAUUACUUAAUCUAUAUUUACUCUCAAUUUUCUAUUGUCUCGAACUGGCAAUAUGAGAAUAAUUCUUGUCUCUUGUUUCUUCUCCUAGCAAUCAGAACGAUAGCAACUUUGCAUUCAUUGAACCUGAUGCAACCGAAGAGAGUAAGAUUUUUUUUACGUACAUUUUUAUAAUUUAUGGGGUGCCUGGCUGGCUCUGUCAGUAGAGUAUGCAACUCUUGAUCUUGGGGUUGUGAGUUCUAGUCCCAUGUUGGGUGUAGAGAUUACUUAAAAAAAUAAAAUCUUUAAAGUACCUUUUAUUUAUUAUUUUAUUAAUUUUUACUUAUUAAUUUAUUAUUAUUUCUUUUAAAGGUUUUCCAAAGGAGGAUUUGGUGCCUUGGAAAUGUUCGGAUUUAAAUUAUUUAAUUUUCUUUAAUACAUUCAUGUUGACUAAUUCCAAAUGACUAGUAAUCCCUUAUAAAAUCAGCAAUACUGUUCAACCUAGCUUGGCAGUUUUUAGGUGAUAAAGACACAGGAUAUUCCUAACAAGUCAAAAUGAAAAUGAAAAGUAUAUGAAGUGUUUUAAAAUGCUAAAUCUCUGAAUCUAGUUUAGCUGAUACUGUUUGUGCCCUAAAAUACAUCAAAUAUGAUAGUACACCCAUGAAGUUCUGCUGAAAUGCAAUAGUUCAUCUUACUCAAGAAGAUUAAAAGACACUGGAGAGGGUUUCUGCCUCCAGGAUCAGAGCUGCAGUGCCCACCCAGGGGAACUCCGUAAAAGCUGGCCCUCAGGGGGGUUUGUCUUAGAAUCUACCCACCUUCUGUUUCUUGGGGCACUGUCAGUCUAACCUUUAUCUACCAGCUGUCUCCUGUUGAUUCAGCACUGCCAGAUUAGUAUACUCCCUGAGAAGGAAAUAUUGAAGAAACUCUCAUUUGGGACAGAAUUCUGUGCCUGUAUGAGUUUUACCAGGCAGUGUGGUGAUUACUGGUGCUUUGCACUGAUUUUUUUCUAGCUGUAGUCCUCAUUUGCUUUCCAAAGUUCCACAGGGAACCACAGCCUUUUGAGGGGAAUGGGGACCUCUUCUAAUCCUAGUAUCUUAUUUGCAUAUGCCAUGACCCCAGUUUGAUGAGCUAGAGAGCAUAUUCACAGAUAAUGAUUGGUGGUCACUUGAAUGUUCUUAAGCAGACAAAUCCAAAUGUGAUUCACCACCACCAAUUGCAUCAGCUUCUAGGUUAUAGAAAGGGAUCAUAAACCCUCACUGGCCAAUCCAUGUGAAUGAAUCAUUAUAUUAAUGGUCUCUUCAGCUGGUUAAUAGUCAAAUACCAGAUGCUAUAACCUGUUGAAGCUCUUUCAGAAUUCCAGUCAAAACUUGGUCUGCUAGAAACUUAUAUCUAUUCCACCUCUACUUUGGUUUUAUGUCCAGGGUAUGUGAUACAGCAUGGAGUUCCCAGGAAAUUGGAUCAACCUAUCUAGCCCACUGCUGAAUUCCCUUACUUGCCCACUUGUAGAGAGUUAAUUCUGUUAUCAGAGAAUGACAUCAAAUAAUAUCUAAGGAUUCCUUGAUGGCAGAAGAAAGCAAUAUCUAAUGCUCUAAUGCUCUUUAAGACAGAGAACUUUCACCUGGGGGCCACAGGUUCUGUGGGAAUCACUGGACCAUCCCAGAUAAAAUGUGUCUUCCCAAAAUCCAUUCAUGAUAUCAGUGGCUGAUUCAGCACUUCACCUUUGUUUCUCUGAUCCUGAGUUAGCUGGUUAAUCCUGAUCAGCCUCUCCUGUUUAUAACUUGCUGCCUGCCCGCCAUUUCGACUACAGUCCCUUCACACCCCCCAUUAUCAAUGUUUAAUCCCCCAGUCCCAACUCGCAUCUGAUUUCAUAACUUAAAACCCUGAUAAUCUUGACAGACUCUAGUAUCUAGUAUCAAUGUCUCCAUCGUUUCUUAAUGCCAGUCCCUUCCCAUCUCUAGCAUCUCACUGGUUCCUACUAAGGCUUCAACUAAGUCCCUGUUUAUAAUACUAUGUAAGUGUAAAUAAAACCAAAAUAAGUCUGUCUCCCUUUUCAGAUAGAAUUACAAGACUUAUUUAUUAAGUAUGUCUCUAAGGAUACAUUCAUAAAAGGGAAACUGCAUUCAUGAUUCUGCAGAAAGGACUUUCACAUUCAUUGAUUAAUUCAACAAACAAUUUUUGAGCACAUACUCUAUGGCAAUUAUUUUAGAUGAACAUACAUUAGACUUCAAAAUAUCUCAUUCUUUUUGCCAAUAUUAGGCAUUAAUCUUUCUUGAACACUGGGUAUUGGAAUAACCAGCUGCUACAGCUAAUAUUAGAUGUGGGUCUAAACAAUGCCCAUUAAAAUAGUCAGCUCGCCCAGAUAAUGUAAGACAUUAGUCAUCUCUUAAACAUUUAAUAUUGAAAAAGGGAAUUCUCUUAGCUAAUGCUAGAGGUUAGUAUUUUCUUGAAUAUUUGAUAUUAUAAAAGCCAACUCCUCUGGCUAAUGUUAAGCAUUAAUAGUUUUUUAAAUAUAACCUAUGAGUGAUUUAUCCAUUCUGUCCAUUACUCUUUAAUUGCAACUGGCACAUCCAUGUGUAAUCAUUUAGACAACACACAAAAGCCAGCAACAGACAAUACGCAGGUAUUUAACCACACCAUCUUUCUAUGGGUCUCGUUAAUCCCUGCUCUUCUGUUUGCCCUGGGUUCUUAACACUGAUUCCUUCCUCCUUGUUGUCAUUGCUGUCUGUAUUGUUUUUUGAUAUUGAGAGAAAAUCUACAUAGAAUGAAGAGCAUAAAAUUCACUAAUCUAAGUGUGCAACAAUGACUUUUUUUACACCCAAAUAACCAACACCUCUUAGAUGAAAAAAUAGAAUAUUUUUAGCGUCAACAUUUCUAGGUUAUUUUCCAUCCCCCAUUCUUAUCCUUUGAGCUGUCUUCCUCCUUAUUUUGAUAUCCUGCAUGGACUUUUAUGGCUCGUAAACUUCAGCUUCCAUCAUCCCAUCCUAUCUUGACUUGCUUUAAAUUCUCUCUUGGAUUAAUUUAACUUGCAGCUCCCCAUAACAGCUACCUCCCAGCCAGGAACAAUUUGCUCUAAGUAUUUUGCAAGCAAAUUUCAGCACUGGGAACAUCUAAGUAUGUAUAGCUAAUCUAAUAUCAUUUGCUUUUAAGUUUAUACCUACAUAAUUUGGGGAAAUUUUUAUAAACAAAUGUGUCAGUCAUAGCUGGUCUUCCUACCACCAACAAUGCCAUCAUGCACAUAUUCUCAGAAAACAAAGAAAAUCAUUCACAUUCUCAAGGAGGAUUUCUGAGCCUCGGGUGGGUACUGAUUUCUCUUUGGACGAUUGUAAUUUACAGCCUAUACUCAGUCUCUGUAAUGUUUUUAAUCAGCCCUUACACUUUUAUCAUUUCAGACAGAAAUGUCAUCUUUUGUUCCAAUUCAGUUUUGGUUUUACGUGGUCAAACUUUGUAAUAUACCCCCUUGUUUUGAACAUUGUUAUAUGAAAAAUAAACUAACACAUUGAAAUUUAUGGAGUGCAUAUUGAAAUAGCUUAAUUAACUGUCAUUUAGGAGAACAAAAGUGCAUUGGUUUGCAAGAUUUUCCAAAAAUGUAUCCCCGUUAGUGGAAGUCUCACUUAAAUAAUACUUCUGUGUUUUUGUAACGGUAUCAAUUUCUCUAUUUGUUAGACACUUACAGAAAUACAGCAAUACAGAAAUACAAACCUUCACUCUAAACAGAUUCUCAUCUAUUCACAUUAAAGUAACUUCAGAAAGGCAAAUUAUGUAUAUAUGAUUAUAAUUCACAUAACCAAUUACAGUUUCCAUAACAUUAAAAUAAUUCUUCGUAACCUUUAUAUACAUAGAAGGUAUUAGGCCUGAAUGUUAAGUACUCAAGUGUAGUUAUGUAAAAUAACAUGACAAUUGUGAAAUCUGUGUUAUUUUAACCAAUCUUAAAGAGGUAAUUGUAUAAUCAAUAUCUUAAGUUGAUUAUGGAACUAUGAGCUACCCGAACAGACUUAGAUGAUUGGCUGAAUCAACUUGUUUCCUCUGAUAUAAAUUGAAGUUAAAGCCUAUGUUUGAAAGCAAGAAAUAUAAAGAAAACCUAAGAAGCUUUUAGGAAAUUAAAUAAAAAUUCAUUGAAAGCAUUAGCAUUCAGUAAUUACUCCUACCAGAGAUCUGUUUGUUGUCUGUCUUUUAUUAUUUUUAAGAUAUUAUAGAU